GUGAAAACUGAGCUCUGACCACAGAAAACCCAAGUUCCCAUUGAGAUAACGACGACAACAGCUAGUGCCUGGUGCUCUGUAACCUUGAACAAAUGACUUAACAGGACUCAAGCUCCAGUGUCAGCAGGUGGAAGAUCAAUUGCCCAUAACAUUCAUGGGCUGCUAUAAUACACAAAUGAGUGGUUCCAGUGUUUGGUAUUUCAUAAAAACAGCUAAGAUAGAAAACACACUCAUCAGGAUUCCAGGCCUUAACACACUAAUUCUUUAUCUGCGGGGGAAAACGAACUGACUGACUUAACUAUCAUGUCCAGGCCCUGGGGAUGUGGUCCAGAGAGUCAAGGUAAUUCCUCAGAGGGAAGCAGUGAGGAGCAAUGGAAGGGAGCCAUGAGUAACGAGGAGACCGCUUAAGAAUGGAAGGUUCUUGAACUCAGCCGUCACUAGAAAACUCUGCUUAAAAACUUGUUUUGAUAUCUAUUUUGUUGUUGUUGUUAUUGUUGUUGUUAUUAUUAUUACUUUUAUUUUUUCGCAGUUCAGUCAUUGCCCCACUCUCAGUCUCCCCUCCCACAGUUCCUCCUCCCAUUCCUCCUCCCCCCUGUCUCCAAGAGGAUGUCCCCCCUUACUACCCUCUCUAAGUUGAAGUUCCUGAAAAUUCAAAUAGGAAAUUAAUAUAGAACUCGACACUCCUCAUCUAGGCUUCUUUUGAGGCUGUAAGUUCUUUAAAAAUCAGUCACCAUUCAUGGCCCGAGUUAUGUGACACCUUGGUUAUUUUAUUUUUAAUUAAAGAAAGUCUCCUACUUGAAAAUUACAAUAUUUGUUAUUUUAUUGCUAAUAUUCACGAAUCUCAAACAGAUGUGUUUGUAAUCAAGAAAACAACAUGACAAGCCUACACAUAGGUGUGCUUACAGAUUCAUCAGGUUCAAUACAAAGUGCCUUCUUCAGUGGUCGGAUCAUAUCCUGUGCUCAGUCAGCUUUUGCCUGCAACUGUCCGCAAACCUUAGCUUGAUAUCACACUGUUUUCACCUUGAGUGAACCUCUCUAGUAAACAUUUUUACAGUGGCCUAUAUUCUAGAAACAGAUCAACUGAAACUGGGGUAAUUAGAGUUUGCAGCAAUGAACCUACAGCAAAAAUAAGGAAAUAAAGCAAAAAGAUGUCUACAUAGAAACUGCAAAAUACCAAAGGUAUCCAACUUAAAUCAAAAGGAUAAAAGAUUUUUAAAAAGUUCUUUGAUGACUAGGAGAUCAGGGGUAAGAACACCAGAGGAAAUGAUGGAAGGGGCAUAGAGCAUCUAUCUAUUAAAGAAAAUGAGCAAGAAGUGGAUGGGGGUUAUAAUUCCACCCUGGGAGUUCUGGUGAUAAACCACUCAGAUUGACUUCAUGGCACAUGUCACCGCCAGCACCCCUCAGUGGAAUCAUAGCCUUGCAUUACAGGGUUGCUUGUCUGUUAUUAUGUUCAAGAGAACUUAGAAAAUACGCCCAGUGUUGUUGAAAUGAGAAGUAGAGUCAGCCAGGCAUAACUUACAAUCAAGAUCUUCCUAAAUAUGUUCCAGGAGGGCUUUGUUGACUAAAGUGGUGGCCACAUGGCCUUGCUAUCUUCAGUGAUGUUUAUAUCUCAUCAGAUUUCUUGUAUUUUUCACUGGGCCAUAGUAAUUCCUAACUCCCUCUCUCUAUUAAUAAUUUACUCCAUAGUGGUGAUAACAAGGUCCGAAAUAACUUAGACUUGAACUCAAGUUUCUUAUAGAGCGUCCAUUAGGUGGUUCAAUAUAGGAAGAAUGAGCAAAGAGACUUAGGGACAAAACAAGGAAAGAAAGACACAAUGGGCCAAGAUGGCGUGCUGGAAGCCUGCACUGUGUUAUCUCUAUCAUCCUGCAUGUUCUGCUGUUGGGACCAAAGCAUGGGGUAGAACUGAUUGCCUGCAGUAUUUUUUUUAAAUCACAACUUGUUUAUUUUCUAUGCACACCAGAGGACAGCUGGCUGGACUCUUCUCUUCUUCUACAAUGUGGGCCUCAGGGAUGAAGCUCAGGCCACUGGUCACCUUUGUCCGCUGAGCCAUCUC
ensembl:lincRNA Gm28240 predicted gene 28240